CCUACGGGAGGCAGCAGUGAGGAAUAUUGGUCAAUGGUCGGGAGACUGAACCAGCCAAGCCGCGUGAGGGAGGAGGGUACAGAGUAUCGUAAACCUCUUUUGUCAGGGAACAAAGGCGGGGACGUGUCCCCGGAUGAGUGUCCCUGAAGAAAAAGCAUCGGCUAACUCCGUGCCAGCAGCCGCGGUAAUACGGAGGAUGCGAGCUUUCUCCGGAUUUGUUGGGUUUAAAGGGUGGGCAGGGGGUCUGUUAAGUCAGCGGUCAAAGCCCGGUGCUCAACCCCGGCCCGCCGGUGAACCUGGCAGUAGCGAGUUGGAGAGAAGUAGGAGGAAUGCGGGGGGUAGCGGAGAAAGGCAUAGAUAUGGCGCAGAAUUCAGAUUGCGAAGGGAGCAUGCCGGCUCCACACUGACGCGAGGGCACGAAAGCGUGGGUAUCGAACAGGAUGAGAAACCCCAGUAGUC
rnacentral:rRNA from 1 species